rnacentral:rRNA from 1 species
CCUACGGGAGGCAGCAGUGGGGAAUAUUGCUCAUGGGAGAAAUCCUGAAGCAGCAACGCCGCGUGGAGGAUGAAAUACUUUUGUAUGUAAACUCCUGUAAGAAGGGAAAAAUAUGCAAUUAUUUUGCGUUGAUUGUACCUUCAGAGUAAGCCCCGGCUAACUACGUGCCAGCAGCCGCGGUAAUACGUAGGGGGCUAGAGUUGUCCGGAUUUACUGGGUGUAAAGGGUGCUCAGGCGGAUUUGUAAGUCAGAGGUGAAAUCCCAAAGCUUAACUUUGGAGCUGCCUUUGAUACUGCAAGUCUUGAGUGUGAGAGAGGGUAAUGGAAUAUCUGGUGUAGCAGUGAAAUGCGUAGAUAUCAGAUAGAACACCAAUGGCGAAGGCAGUUACCUGGCUCAAUACUGACGCUAAAGCACGAAAGUGUGGGGAGCAAACAGGAUUAGAUACCCUGGUAGUCCACACCCUAAACGAUGAAUACUAGAUGUUGGUCCUUUUCAGGGUCAGUAUCCAAGCUAACGCAUUAAGUAUUCCACCUGGGAAGUACAAUCGCAAGGUUGAAACUCAAAGGAAUUGACGG